rnacentral:rRNA from 2 species
GGAUAACCUGCCCUAAGGAAGGGGAUAACCCCGGGAAACUGGGGAUAAUACCCUAUAGGUUACAGGUGCUGGAAUGCUCUGUAACCCAAAGUUCCGACGCCUUAGGAUGGAUCUGCGGCCGAUUAGGUUGUUGUUGGGGUAACGGCCCAACAAGCCAGUAAUCGGUACGGGUUGUGGGAGCAAGAGCCCGGAGUUGGAUUCUGAGACACGAAUCCAGGCCCUACGGGGCGCAGCAGGCGCGAAAACUUUACAAUGCGGGCAACCGUGAUAAGGGAACCUCGAGUGCCUGUAUAUGCAGGCUGUCCAGGUGUCUAAAAAACACCUGAAGAAAGGGCCGGGCAAGACCGGUGCCAGCCGCCGCGGUAAUACCGGCGGCUCGAGUGGUGGCCACUUUUAUUGGGCUUAAAGCGUUCGUAGCUGGGUUGUUAAGUCUCUUGGGAAAUCUGACGGCUUAACCGUCAGGCGUCUAAGAGAUACUGGCAAUCUUGGAACCGGGAGAGGUGAGGGGUACUUCGGGGGUAGGAGUGAAAUCCUGUAAUCCUCGAGGGACCACCUGUGGCGAAGGCGCCUCACCAGAACGGCUUCGACAGUGAGGGACGAAAGCUGGGGGAGCAAACCGGAUUAGAUACCCGGGUAGUCCCAGCCGUAAACGAUGCGCGUUAGGUGUAUCGGUGACCACGAGUCACCGAGGUGCCGAAGGGAAACCGUGAAACGUGCCGCCUGGGAAGUACGGUCGCAAGGCUGAAACUUAA